CUUCAGACGCUGCUGCUACCAUUGCGAUCUGAGAGCCCAGGUUGAGCAGCUGCUGCUCCCGCAGCAGGAUCGGGGCUGGGGAGUGACCGCUGCAGCGUCACGUCCCACCCUUCCAGGGAGCAAGGAAGGGAAAUGGCUGCCGUGGAGCCAGCUCAGGGGCCGGUGACCUUCGAGGAGGUGGCUGUGUAUUUCACCAGGGAAGAGUGGGCUCUGCUG